CAGCAGCCACGGUAAUACGAAGGGGGCUAGCGUUGUUCGGAUUUACUGGGCGUAAAGCGCACGUAGGCGGACUUUUAAGUCAGGGGUGAAAUCCCGGGGCUCAACCCCGGAACUGCCUUUGAUACUGGAAGUCUUGAGUAUGGUAGAGGUGAGUGGAAUUCCGAGUGUAGAGGUGAAAUUCGUAGAUAUUCGGAGGAACACCAGUGGCGAAGGCGGCUCACUGGACCAUUACUGACGCUGAGGUGCGAAAGCGUGGGGAGCAAACAGGAUUAGAUACCCCGGUAGUCCCUGUCUCUUAUAA
rnacentral:rRNA from 1 species